ensembl:lincRNA 4930480K23Rik RIKEN cDNA 4930480K23 gene
GGGUGGUUCGGGCUUAAGGUUAGCCAGGCUGAGGCUAUGGGAGCUGCAGGUGGAUACACAACCUUGGAUCUGGUGUAGCUCUCCUUAGCCCAGAGACUUUUAAGUUAAACAAACGCCCAAGAUACCUUUCUUUCACUAGAAUAUCAGCCGAUUAACAAAAAUGGUCCCAAAGCUCCGUGACACUGGACCCAUUUUUAGGGCUAGAGAUAGUCUUCUUAAUCACUUUCUUCCCGCUCUUUAGCUCUGGGAUGUCCUUUUUCUCCUGAAAAUUCAUAUUCUGCCAGGUCCUUUAAAAAAAAAAAUCGUUCCAACUCUCAUCUGAAGCUCCGGCUGCCUUGGCUGCCAGUUUAGCAUUUGUCUCUGACCUUUCUGCUUCCUCGAAGGAGAGGGCAGACAGCGAUGCAAGUGUCUUGCAAUGACAGCGCUACUGCAGAAAAUACUUUAUGGACUGAGAGGUACUUAAACCUUACCCUCUAGUUACUUUUCCGUCUUGAAGAGUCUUACAAAAUUUGUUCAGUGUUGAGAAUAAAUUGUGGUGGUGGUAGUUAUAGCCGGACCGUUCAAAAAGAGACUAGGACGAGCUGUUUUUUAAUUUGAAAUUUGCACAGACCCGGCCGAGGGCACGCACUCACUACAAGUCUAGAGAGACUGCCCCGACCGUUAAAGACAGGUUUAUAAAGGGGAAAACUACUGGUUCCAUACUUCCAUUAACGUGGUCGCUGUUGGCAAGCAUGACAGGAUAUGAACUUUUAACAAAAAUGAGGUAUAGCACCAUGGCUUCUCUGCUUGAUCGAGGAGCAGAAAACCUUCAGGUUACAGAAGCAGGACGAUGCAGAGAUCGAUAGAGCCGUGGGAAGAAUGGAAGAGCCAGAGGACGGGGAUGAGCGCUGUGAAAUGCUUUCUUCGGGACAGGAUACGUUGACUGCACUCAUGAGCUCUCUGCAGCUGUGACUCCCUGCACAAAUUCAAGUCAUCAUUCCAACAGAUACUGCCUGGUAGCAUACAACUGUAACAAAAACAAAUUCAAGAAGAGG